GGAGAAUGGCAAUGGCUUAGUAGCAGAGCAUCUGAUUUUGCAUGCAGAAGGUCCUGGGUUCAUUACCCUGCUUCUCCA